rnacentral:rRNA from 1 species
GCGAUAAAGCGGGUGAAAAGCCCGCUCGCCGAAAGCCCAAGGUUUCCUACGCAACGUUCAUCGGCGUAGGGUGAGUCGGCCCCUAAGGCGAGGCAGAAAUGCGUAGUCGAUGGGAAACAGGUUAAUAUUCCUGUACUUGAUUCAAAUGCGAUGUGGGGACGGAGAAGGUUAGGUUAGCAAGCUGUUGGAAUAGCUUGUUUAAGCCGGUAGGUGGAAGACUUAGGCAAAUCCGGGUCUUCUUAACACCGAGAAGUGAUGACGAGUGUCUACGGACAUGAAGUAACCGAUACCACGCUUCCAGGAAAAGCCACUAAGCUUCAGUUUGAAUCGAACCGUACCGCAAACCGACACAGGUGGGCAGGAUGAGAAUUCUAAGGCGCUUGAGAGAACUCGGGAGAAGGAACUCGGCAAAUUGAUACCGUAACUUCGGGAGAAGGUAUGCCCUCUAAGGUUAAGGACUUGCUCCGUAAGCUUCGGAGGGUCGCAGAGAAUAGGUGGCUGCGACUGUUUAUUAAAAACACAGCACUCUGCUAACACGAAAGUGGACGUAUAGGGUGUGACGCCUGCCCGGUGCUGGAAGGUUAAUUGAAGAUGUGCAAGCAUCGGAUCGAAGCCCCAGUAAACGGCGGCCGUAACUAUAACGGUCCUAAGGUAGCGAAAUUCCUUGUCGGGUAAGUUCCGA